AAUAAUUCAAAACGGGCAAUCUCUUUAAAAAGAGACUAAAUUAUCACUCGAAUAGUUUAUACUCUUAUACCAUAAUAUAUAGAGUGAUGAGUAUAACGUAAGCCAGUCCUUAUUUCAAAAAGUAUUCACUUUUAGUUUUUUUAUUUUUCAUUGCAAAUUUAAGAACCCUGCACUCUUAAGUUUUGUAUUUUUUAUCACCCU